rnacentral:rRNA from 1 species
CUUCCCCCCCGGUACUAAGCAUAUCAAUAAGCGGAGGAAAAGAAACCAACAGGGAUUGCCUUAGUAACGGCGAGUGAAGCGGCAACAGCUCAAAUUUGAAAUCUGGCCCUUGGGUCCGAAUUGUAAUUUGUAGAGGAUGAUUUUGGUGCGGUAUCUUCCGAGUUCCUUGGAACAGGACGCCUUAGAGGGUGAGAGCCCCGUACGGUUGAAUGCCUAGCCUCUGUAAAUCUCCUUCGACGAGUCGAGUAGUUUGGGAAUGCUGCUCUAAAUGGGAGGUAAAUUUCUUCUAAAGCUAAAUAUUGGCCAGAGACCGAUAGCGCACAAGUAGAGUGAUCGAAAGAUGAAAAGCACUUUGAAAAGAGGGUUAAAUAGCACGUGAAAUUGUUGAAAGGGAAGGAUUUGUGACCAGACUUUUUCUGGGCGGAUCAUCCGGGGUUCUCUCCGGUGCACUUCGCCCAGUAAAGGCCAGCAUCGGUUUUCGGCGUGGGAUAAAAGCAGUAGGAAUGUGGCUCUCUACGGGGAGUGUUAUAGCCUAUUGUAUAAUACCGCGCUGGGGACCGAGGUUCGCGCUUCUGCAAGGAUGCUGGCGUAAUGGUUAUCAAUCACCCGUCUUGAAACACGGACCAAGGAGUCGAACAUUUGUGCAAGUGUUUGGGUGUUAAACCCUCACGCGUAAUGAAAGUGAACGGAGGUGAGAGCCCUUACGGGUGCAUCAUCGACCGAUCCUGAAGUUUUCGGAUGGAUUUGAGUAAGAGCAUAACUGUUCGGACCCGAAAGAUGGUGAACUAUGCGUGGAUAGGGUGAAGCCAGAGGAAACUCUGGUGGAGGCUCGCAGCGGUUCUGACGUGCAAAUCGAUCGUCAAAUCUGCGCAUGGGGGGCGAAAGACUAAUCGAACCAUCUAGUAGCUGGUUACCGCCGAGCCCCCCCCCCCUACAAGAGAAAG